AAUGGGGAAGGAGGUUUUUAAUAGCACCAUCGGGGCGCGUCUUCUUAGUCGUUUUAUUCCUGUCUUAGUUUAGGUUCUGUCCCAGCUGCCUUUAAACAUGCCGUGGUCAGGCCCCUACUUAACAAGCCUAAUCUUGACCCUACAUGUGUCUUUUCUGUAAAAGGUUUUG